rnacentral:rRNA from 1 species
AGAGUUUGAUCCUGGCUCAGGAUGAACGCUGGCGGCAUGCCUAAUACAUGCAAGUCGAACGAGAGGAAGGAAAGCUUGCUUUUCUGAAUCUAGUGGCGAACGGGUGAGUAACACGUAGGUAACCUGCCCAUGUGCCCGGGAUAACUUCUGGAAACGGAUGCUAAAACCGGAUAGGUAGCAGACAAGCAUUUGACUGCUAUUAAAGUGGCUAAGGCCAUGAACAUGGAUGGACCUGCGGUGCAUUAGCUAGUUGGUGAGGUAACGGCCCACCAAGGCGACGAUGCAUAGCCGGCCUGAGAGGGCGGACGGCCACAUUGGGACUGAGACACGGCCCAAACUCCUACGGGAGGCAGCAGUAGGGAAUUUUCGUCAAUGGGGGGAACCCUGAACGAGCAAUGCCGCGUGAGUGAGGAAGGUCUUCGGAUCGUAAAGCUCUGUUGUAAGAGAAAAACGACAUUCAUAGGGAAUGAUGAGUGAGUGAUGGUAUCUUACCAGAAAGUCACGGCUAACUACGUGCCAGCAGCCGCGGUAAUACGUAGGUGGCGAGCGUUAUCCGGAAUGAUUGGGCGUAAAGGGUGCGUAGGUGGCAGAACAAGUCUGGAGUAAAAGGUAUGGGCUCAACCCGUACUGGCUCUGGAAACUGUUCAGCUAGAGAACAGAAGAGGACGGCGGAACUCCAUGUGUAGCGGUAAAAUGCGUAGAUAUAUGGAAGAACACCGGUGGCGAAGGCGGCCGUCUGGUCUGUUGCUGACACUGAAGCACGAAAGCGUGGGGAGCAAAUAGGAUUAGAUACCCUAGUAGUCCACGCCGUAAACGAUGAGA